UACUUACUCUUCACUUCAGCGAACCUCUCAUUGAAUACAAUGGCAGUUCUGGCCGAAUAAGGAGUAAGAACCUCAGGGUUUGGUUAUAUGUAAGAUAUAUUGAGUCAUUAAAAAAGAAAAGGUAACUGGUGUCAGCUCCCACCAUUUGCAGGAAGCAGCUUUGGUACAAUGCUGGGCAUGACUCAGGAGGAUGCCAUUGCCAGCAAUCAUUGACCUAGGGCUCAAUUAUAGCUUUCGAACCAAGUGCACAAGGAGGUGAAGAAACAGAACAUCUCCAUUGUCUGAGCACCACGAAGCAUGCCUACUCAAGACUUCACCUCUUUCCUUAGAAAUCCAAUAUAAAUGGCCUUCAAAGACAUCAAGGCUAUACGGACUGCUGACUUCUCAAAGGAACAAAAAAAAUCAUCAGUUAGCAAAGAAUCCCUAGCAGUAUUGAUGAGCGAACUAUUCUUCUCCUUGAAUCAAGUAUAUUAUUCAUUAACCACUUGCAUUAGUAUUGAUGGAAAUGUCAUCGCAUGACUGAAAAGAACAGGCCACUUUACCUGCAAAUUGAUAACACAUGUAAAACAGCAAUAACCAAUCCAGUUUGUGCCACAUUCUGUCUGUUUUGCUCAUGCAAGUUAAUCGCAGUGGACCUAAUUCUCAACCACCUUGCGUAGUCAUUUACACGCAUGCAAAGUGAAUGCAAAAUGCUACCAAGUCUGUUUCUUAAUAAGGUACCUAAUUGGGAGCUGAGUGUUUUGGAAAAUCUGGCCCCAGUUGUGAGAUCUGAGUACUUGAAAAUCUGGCCCUACACGUUCACAUUAAUUUUUUAGACCAGAAAUAUAUACAACAUUCAUGUAAAUUUCCUACCUCCAUGUAAUACAGUGGUUCUGUCUGUUCCAUCAGGUCUCAUGGAUUCAAUAAUAUUUUCUUUAGAAUCAGUCCAGUACAGCCUGUC